rnacentral:rRNA from 1 species
GACUCGUCACACUAUCAUUAACUGAAUCCAUAGGUUAAUGAGGCGAACCGGGGGAACUGAAACAUCUAAGUACCCCGAGGAAAAGAAAUCAACCGAGAUUCCCCCAGUAGCGGCGAGCGAACGGGGAGGAGCCCAGAGCCUGAAUCAGCAUGUGUGUUAGUGGAAGCGUCUGGAAAGGCGCGCGAUACAGGGUGACAGCCCCGUACACAAAAGCGCAUGUGCUGUGAGCUCGAUGAGUAGGGCGGGACACGUGGUAUCCUGUCUGAAUAUGGGGGGACCAUCCUCCAAGGCUAAAUACUCCUGACUGACCGAUAGUGAACCAGUACCGUGAGGGAAAGGCGAAAAGAACCCCGGCGAGGGGAGUGAAAAAGAACCUGAAACCGUGUACGUACAAGCAGUGGGAGCACCCUUUGGGGUGUGACUGCGUACCUUUUGUAUAAUGGGUCAGCGACUUAUAUUCUGUAGCAAGGUUAACCGAAUAGGGGAGCCGGAGGGAAACCGAGUCUUAAUUGGGCGUUAAGUUGCAGGGUAUAGACCCGAAACCCGGUGAUCUAGCCAUGGGCAGGUUGAAGGUUGGGUAACACUAACUGGAGGACCGAACCGACUAAUGUUGAAAAAUUAGCGGAUGACCUGUGGCUGGGGGUGAAAGGCCAAUCAAACCGGGAGAUAGCUGGUUCUCCCCGAAAGCUAUUUAGGUAGCGCCUCGUGAAUUCAUCUCCGGGGGUAGAGCACUGUUUCGGCUAGGGGGCCAUCCCGGCUUACCAACCCGAUGCAAACUGCGAAUACCGGAGAAUGUUAUCACGGGAGACACACGGCGGGUGCUAACGUCCGUCGUGAAGAGGGAAACAACCCAGACCGCCAGCUAAGGUCCCAAAGUCAUGGUUAAGUGGGAAACGAUGUGGGAAGGCCCAGACAGCCAGGAUGUUGGCUUAGAAGCAGCCAUCAUUUAAAGAAAGCGUAAUAGCUCACUGGUCGAGUCGGCCUGCGCGGAAGAUGUAACGGGGCUAAACCAUGCACCGAAGCUGCGGCAGCGACACUCAGGUGUUGUUGGGUAGGGGAGCGUUCUGUAAGCCUGUGAAGGUGUGUCGUGAGGCAUGCUGGAGGUAUCAGAAGUGCGAAUGCUGACAUAAGUAACGAUAAAGCGGGUGAAAAGCCCGCUCGCCGGAAGACCAAGGGUUCCUGUCCAACGUUAAUCGGGGCAGGGUGAGUCGACCCCUAAGGCGAGGCCGAAAGGCGUAGUCGAUGGGAAACGGGUUAAUAUUCCCGUACUUGGUGUUACUGCGAAGGGGGGACGGAGAAGGCUAUGUUGGCCGGGCGACGGUUGUCCCGGUUUAAGCGUGUAGGUGUGUGUUCCAGGUAAAUCCGGUUCACUUUAACACUGAGGCGUGAUGACGAGGCACUACGGUGCUGAAGCAACAAAUGCCCUGCUUCCAGGAAAAGCCUCUAAGCAUCAGGUAACAUCAAAUCGUACCCCAAACCGACACAGGUGGUCAGGUAGAGAAUACCAAGGCGCUUGAGAGAACUCGGGUGAAGGAACUAGGCAAAAUGGUGCCGUAACUUCGGGAGAAGGCACGCUGACA